rnacentral:rRNA from 1 species
AUUGAACGCUGGCGGCAUGCUUUACACAUGCAAGUCGAACGGUAACAGGCCGCAAGGUGCUGACGAGUGGCGAACGGGUGAGUAAUGCAUCGGAACGUGCCCAGUCGUGGGGGAUAACGCAGCGAAAGCUGCGCUAAUACCGCAUACGAUCUAUGGAUGAAAGCGGGGGACCGUAAGGCCUCGCGCGAUUGGAGCGGCCGAUGUCAGAUUAGGUAGUUGGUGGGGUAAAGGCUCACCAAGCCAACGAUCUGUAGCUGGUCUGAGAGGACGAACAGCCACACGGGGACUGAGACACGGCCCAGACUCCUACGGGAGGCAGAAGUGGGGAAUUUUGGACAAUGGGCGCAAGCCUGAUCCAGCAAUGCCGCGUGCAGGAAGAAGGCCUUCGGGUUGUAAACUGCUUUUGUACGGAACGAAACGGUCCUGGUUAAUACCCGGGGCUAAUGACGGUACCGUAAGAAUAAGCACCGGCUAACUACGUGCCAGCCGCCGCCGUAAAAC